UAAAGGUACCCUUCUUGGCUGAUCCCUUUCGCUUUGUGGCGUGCUCGGUUGGGUUGGGCGCCGGCUAAGAGUGGUCGGAGCGUGGAUUAACUCCAGUCUCCAAUCAGGUAAUUUCUAGCCAUAGACGGAUCGGAGCUGCGAGGGGCUCGGAGGAAGCCACACACACUGUUUAUUUUAUAGUUUUGAUUAUUACUUUUAAAUGUUUUAUGUGGGUUGUAGUAAAGCUGUUGUAAUUUUUUAGAUUUCAAAUUUGAAAUUUUACUUAUUGUUCUUAUAA